rnacentral:snoRNA from 1 species
AGCCGAAAUGUUGAACCUAGUUCAGAGCUGCUUCCCUAAUAUGGUCAUUAAAUUUUGGGACUGUAAGACAAGGUCUGGGGAAGAGGAUUAGUAGAAGGUAUGUCUCUAUUCAUUUCUCCCUAACUGCAAAU